GACUGGCGGCGUGCUUACCAUGCAAGUCGAGCGGAAAGGCCCUUCGGGGUACUCGAGCGGCGAACGGGUGAGUAACACGUGAGUAACCUGCCCCUGACUCUGGGAUAAGCCUGGGAAACUGGGUCUAAUACCGGAUACGACCAUUUCUCGCAUGGGAUGGUGGUGGAAAGUUUUUUCGGUUGGGGAUGGGCUCGCGGCCUAUCAGCUUGUUGGUGGGGUGAUGGCCUACCAAGGCGACGACGGGUAGCCGGCCUGAGAGGGCGACCGGCCACACUGGGACUGAGACACGGCCCAGACUCCUACGGGAGGCAGCAGUGGGGAAUAUUGCGCAAUGGGCGAAAGCCUGACGCAGCGACGCCGCGUGGGGGAUGACGGCCUUCGGGUUGUAAACCUCUUUCAGCAGGGACGAAGUUGACGUGUACCUGUAGAAGAAGCGCCGGCUAACUACGUGCCAGCAGCCGCGGUAAUACGUAGGGCGCGAGCGUUGUCCGGAAUUAUUGGGCGUAAAGAGCUCGUAGGUGGCUUGUUGCGUCUGCCGUGAAAGCCCGUGGCUUAACUACGGGUCUGCGGUGGAUACGGGCAGGCUAGAGGCUGGUAGGGGCAAGCGGAAUUCCUGGUGUAGCGGUGAAAUGCGCAGAUAUCAGGAGGAACACCGGUGGCGAAGGCGGCUUGCUGGGCCAGUUCUGACGCUGAGGAGCGAAACG
rnacentral:rRNA from 1 species